ACCGGCAGCUAGCUCUCUGCAACCUUUCACAUGGUUGCCCACUGAAGCUUAGCAGGGCUGUGCCCGGUCAGUACCUUAAUGGGAGACCACAUGGGAAAGCUAGGUUGCUGCCGGAA
ensembl:rRNA 5S_rRNA 5S ribosomal RNA